rnacentral:rRNA from 1 species
GUGAGGAAUAUUGGUCAAUGGGCGCAAGCCUGAACCAGCCAUGCCGCGUGCAGGAAGACGGUCCUAUGGAUUGUAAACUGCUUUUAUACAGGAAGAAACAACUCUACGUGUAGAGUCUUGACGGUACUGUAGGAAUAAGGAUCGGCUAACUCCGUGCCAGCAGCCGCGGUAAUACGGAGGAUCCAAGCGUUAUCCGGAAUCAUUGGGUUUAAAGGGUCCGUAGGCGGUCUUAUAAGUCAGUGGUGAGAGCCCAUCGCUCAACGAUGGAACUGCCAUUGAUACUGUAAGACUUGAAUUUUUGUGAAGUAACUAGAAUAUGUAGUGUAGCGGUGAAAUGCUUAAAUAUUACAUGGAAUACCAAUUGCGAAGGCAGGUUACUAACAAACGAUUGACGCUGAUGGACGAAAGCGUGGGGAGCGAACAGG